AUGGACCAUUCCAUCCCUUUUUCCCGUGCAUAUGCAUCGGACUCGGAUGACGAUGGUCCCGAUGAACAAGUUGAUGCGGAGGGGUUCACGGUGAAGGAGGCCGAAGCUUUCGAGAAGGUAUUUGGUCGGGAUCAUCGGACUACAUUGUUCAAGGAUGUUAGUCUCGCGGAUGAAGCCGUGGUAGAUGGUGGCCAAUGUGUAGCUCUUGGGGUUAGGCCAAGCUCUCACCGUGAUUUGGUAGACGACAAGAACCGGAUUGCUAAAGGUUCUAAGUUCGACAGCUUGUUGGAUUUGAAGAUGUGGCUCGACAACUACUCGGUUACGCAUUAUCGUCCACAAAAGGUGGUGCACUCGGACGUCAAUGUGCGCUACACGGUUGCAUGUGCAUGUGAAGAUGAAAAGGAGGUCCAACUUGGACUUACAAGAGGCCGUGGUGGUGGUAGAGGUCGUGGAAAGGAGGUCCAACAAGGAGUGGCAAGACGCCGUGGCGGUUGUCCGUGGAUUGUGCGUGCAAGACCAUGGAAAGGAGGUCCUACUUGGCAUGUAGUGAGUUGUGUGCCAACUCACAUGUGCCAAGGCAAAAGGGUGGAUGGCAAGAUUGUGUCCCAAGACCACAAACAACUCACGUCCGAGUUCAUCGCUUACAGGCUCUCGAACUCAAUAUCCACACUUCCAACAAUGAGCGUCCAACAUGUCAUUGACCUUGUGAAAGCCAUCUUUCAUUACAAGGUGAAAUACAGCAAGGCAUGGAAGGCGAAGCAAGCUGCAUUUUAG
rnacentral:rRNA from 1 species